AGCGUAGACGAUGUGGCAAGUCUGAUGUGAAAGGCAUGGGCUCAACCUGUGGAUUGCAUUGGAAACUGUCAUACUUGAGUGCCGGAGGGGUAAGCGGAAUUCCUAGUGUAGCGGUGAAAUGCGUAGAUAUUAGGAGGAACACCAGUGGCGAAGGCGGCUUACUGGACGGUAACUGACGUUGAGGCUGAAAGCGUGGGGAGCAAACA
rnacentral:rRNA from 1 species